rnacentral:rRNA from 1 species
UCGUAGGUGAACCUGCGGAGGGAUCAUUACCGAGUUAUACAACUCAUCAACCCUGUGAACAUACCUAUAACGUUGCCUCGGCGGGAACAGACGGCCCCGUAACACGGGCCGCCCCCGCCAGAGGACCCCCUAACUCUGUUUCUAUAAUGUUUCUUCUGAGUAAACAAGCAAAUAAAUUAAAACUUUCAACAACGGAUCUCUUGACUCUGGCGUCGAUGAAGAACGCAGCGAAAUGCGGUAAGUAAUGUGAAUUGCAGAAUUCAGUGAAUCAUCGAAUCUUUGAACGCACAUUGCGCCCGCCAGUAUUCUGGCGGGCAUGCCUGUUCGAGCGUCAUUACAACCCUCAGGCCCCCGGGCCUGGCGUUGGGGAUCGGCGGAAGCCCCCUGCGGGCACAACGCCGUCCCCCAAAUACAGUGGCGGUCCCGCCGCAGCUUCCAUUGCGUAGUAGCUAACACCUCGCAACUGGAGAGCGGCGCGGCCACGCCGUAAAACACCCAACUUCUGAAUGUUGACCUCGAAUCAGGUAGAAAUACCCGCUGAACUUAAGCAUAUCAAUAAGCGGAGGA